CCUACGGGAGGCAGCAGUGGGGAAUAUUGGACAAUGGGGGAAACCCUGAUCCAGCGACGCCGCGUGAGUGAAGAAGUAUUUCGGUACGUAAAGCUCUAUCAGCAGGAAAGAAAAUGACGGUACCUGACUAAGAAGCCCCGGCUAACUACGUGCCAGCAGCCGCGGUAAUACGUAGGGGGCAAGGGUUAUCCGGAUUUACUGGGUGGAAAGGGGUCGUAGACGGCAGCGACAGUCUGGAGUGCAAUGCCGGGGCACAACCCCGGAACUGCUCUGGAAACGGUGAAGCUGGAGGGCAGGAGAGGUAAGCGGAAUGCCUGGUGUAGCGGUGAAAUGCGUAGAGAUCAGGAGGAACACCGGCGGCGAAGGCGGCUUACUGGACUGUAACUGACGUUGAGGCUCGAAGGCGUGGGGAGCAAACAGGAUUAGAUACCCGUGUAGUC
rnacentral:rRNA from 1 species